AAAUUUUCAUAUAAAUUAAUCUCUCAGUGGAUACUUCAUGACUGGAGCGAUGAAGACUGUUCGAAGAUACUGAAGAACUGCUACGAAGCAAUACCGGAAUCCGGAAAGGUCAUUUUGGUGGAAUCAAUAGUGCCAGAAUUCCCCGAGACUGAUAUUGUAAGCAAGAAUAUAGCAAGUCUUGACGUACACCUCUCCAAUCUAUUUCCCGGAGCAAAGGAGAGGACAUUGGCGGAGUUCAAGGCCUUGGCAACAGGAGCUGGAUUUGCAGAUAUUAAAGUUAUAUGUCGUGUUUACUGCUAUUGGGUCAUUGAAUUCUACAAAACGAUUUAAGCAUUACGAUUUACGAGUGCUAGUCAUUUUAUGGUUCGCAUGCAUUUUUUUUUUUAAAUUAAAUGGCAGAAUCCUGUCCUUAUUCUGUCUGAUCAACACUUCUAUCUCUUCCCACGUUUCAAUAAUUUCUAGGCAUUGUUCAUUUUGUUCCUCCAUGACUUUUGUAAUUUCAUUUCUUAUAGCAAUAAUAAACCCGCCUCUUAUUGAGAUUUAUUAAAAAUAAUUUGCUUCAUUUCUCAUAAUUGUGCUUUACAAAAUAUCCAGCUAUAGGUGCUCAUAGUCCAAACCAGUGCACACAGUUGUGAAAAUUCCAAUUCAUAUAUAUAUAUAUUUUCAAUCUGGUGGAUUGGUUGAUAGAAUAUGAUUUAAAAUUUUUCCCAAUUGGUGGAUUGAAUACAAUUUGUAGUAUUGUAAGUGACAAUAAGGUUUGCAAAUUGAUUAAUAAAACAAAUUAUUUGAAGAAAAUAAAAUCACAAGUACGAUUAUAGGCAUAAAAUAUUGAAAACAAAUUAGAGAAAGAUAGUAGAAUUGUUUACUGACAGAGGGAUUUGAGGUUGUUUAAAAAUGAUCAUUUGGAAAAUGAUUAUGAUGCAUGGGCGGAUUAAAGCCUUGUGCAUACAACAACAACAGAUCUAUUCCUAUUUAUAUAUUAUGAUGCAUGGGCGGAUUAAAGCCUUUCGCUGGAUGAGAUCGGGCACAUCCCUCUUUUUGCGUUUCGAUAAUUUUUUAUUCUUCAUGGUUGUUCAAUUACGACUGGUCUUUUAUUUAUUUAUUUAAUUAUUGAGCGAAUCUGAACAGGCCAGCUGUUAGUUGGAUUUGGAAGUGUAGCUGAUAUUGUCACUCUUUAUUAUUUUUCUAUUUUCCUUUUCUGAGUUAGUCCAAUUAGUGCUAAAAGAAAAGAAUUAGGUGUCAACAAUUGAAUCUGCUUUCGGGGACCACUAGCUGCUUACACUAGUGAACUCUAAAUCAAUAAUCAAUACAUGUAAGAUUUGAUGAUAAAUUAAUGAAACGAAGAUUGUGACACGUGAUUGUUAUUUAUUGUAGUAAAAUUUAUCAGUCAGUAUUGUCCGCAAAGUUGAAAUGUUACUAAUAAUAAUAUUUUAUUUUUUCUCUUAAUUUUUGACCAACAGUAUUAGGUAGCUAGUUGUGUGCAUUACAACAGCACCCGUCUGCCUAUUUUUAUAAUAUGAUACCUGGGCGAACUAAAGUAAUUGUAGGAUGAGAUGGGGCGCAUGCCUCACUUUGAGUUUUAAAUUUUUUUAUUCUUCAUAUGAGUCUUCUUUUUCUUUUUCUUUUAUAAGCAAGCCUCGUGCAAUGAGGAAACUUAUUGAAGCAUAAAAAUUAAAUAGAAGAGUGUAAAUAAAUUAAGAGGGGACAUAGUGAAUAGUAAGCCUACCCAAUACCCGUUAGUAAGACAACUAAAUCUAACAAAAACAUGGGUAUAUACAAGCAUUUAUGAAAAUAGCAUGAUAUUAAUUAAUAUUCAAUAUAGUCAUGUUUCUUGUAUGUGUACCAAUAAUGUAUAUCUGAAAGGAUCAAAAUGGGAGAGCAAUCUCAUUAUAAUGCUAUAGCAAUAAUCACCUACGUUUAAUUGAUUGAUCCUGUAAAAUUAAGAUGCGGUUACUAAGAAAUAUAAUAUGUGGCCCUAGAUUCAUAUUGAUUGUUGUAUAAUAUAUGCCUUUCCACACUUCGAUGAUUAAUUACUUAUAGACAAUCACAGCCGGGCAGAAAGUUACUUUAAUACCUUAAAUCAUGAUAUUCUCUCAAAUGUAUAAUAUAUGCCUUUCCACACUUCGAUGAUUAAUCUCGUGGACGGUUCUCACAAUAUUUAAUUGUUUUCAAAACCCAAAAUGUGGCAUGUGCUGCAUGUCAACCUACAAUGUCGUCCUAUAAGACAAAAAACGUUAAUUAAUGCAGCAGUAUAAUAAUGAGAUAGCUGUACCAUCUUGACCAUUCCAUAUAUGCUUGAUUAUAUUGAUAGAAACAUAAUUAUAUAGACUAUUAAUGCAUAACAAAUGGUUAAUUUAAAAGGAUUAAUUGAGUACUUUUUUAACAUUUGAAAGUCUGUGCGAAAUAAAAAUGAAUUUUUUUAAAAUUAUUAGAUACGUAUUCAGAAUAAUAAAGUUUUCACAAGAACUUUUAAGUGUAAAUAAUUCCACCUAAAUUAAAAUCCUUGUAUAUUCAAAUUAAACAAGUUAUCACGUAUUUGUUUAAAAGUAUUGGAGUUAAACAAGGCAGGGAAUUAUUAAUAUCCAAUCAGCACUAGAUUACAAGUCUUUAUGAUGUUUUUCACUCCUGACUAGGAAAUAUUAUUAAUAUUUAAUUUUUAUCAUUAAUUUUUAAUGUAGGACAAAUCUUCAAUUUUUGUAAUCAUCAUUUGUAACUUAAAUAUUUGGCCUAAAAUUUCAUCUAUCGAAACGCCGAAAUUAAUAGAAUUCAAUUAAAAAUUGAGAGAUAGCACAUCGCCCAUCAAUUGUGUUUGGUUGAUGACCCAUCGCAUAGAUUAAGAGAUGGGCCAUUCCCAGCCAUUGCCAACCAAAAAAAAAUAAUAUUGAGUGGUGCUAUUGGCACACCUACAUUAUCCUAUUAAAACUCCCUUAUUUUCUUUUACAAAUUUACCCAACUGAAAACGCCCCACAUACCCAAAGCCAAUGCAAAGUCACAAAUAAAAUUUAAGGACCACACACACAGUCAGUAGAUAUAUGUCGAAUCCUGGUGGAGAGCAUUGGAAAAUUGUGAAGAGGAUCUUGAGAUACAUUAGAGGAACCUCAUAUGUUGCAUUAUAUUACGGAGGAUCAAAAGUUGUCAUCAGGGUCUAUGUGCACUCAAAUUUUGGAGGAGAUCUUGAUAAAAGGAAAUCCACUACUGGCAAUGUGUUAACACUUAUAGGAGGAGCUAUAAGCUGGGUUUCAAACCUGCAGGCUAUUGUGGCUUUAUCUACAACUGAAGUAGUAUAUAUAGUAACUACAUAAGCUUGCAGGAAAGUUAUUUGAAUACAAAGGUCAUUGGAGGAGCUGGUCCUUUAUUUAUUUAUUGAAAGAAUCUGAACAGGCUAGCUGUUAGUUGGAUUUGCAAGUGUAGCUGAUACUAUCAAUCAAACCUCGUGCUUAUAUGUGUUUAUAAGUCAUAAGCAAACCUCGUGCUUAUAUGUGUUUAUAAGUCAUAAGCAAUCCUCGUGCACGAGAUUUGCUUAUAAAACAACAACACACCUAUUCCUAUUUAUAUAUUAUGAUGCAUGGGCGGAUUAAAGCCUUUCGCUGAAUGAGAUCGGGCACAUCCCUCUUUUUGCGUUUCGAUAAUUUUUUAUUCUUCAUGGUUGUUCAAUUACGACUGGUGGAUGAGAUGGGGCACAUGCCUUAUUUUGAGUUUUAAAACUUUUUUAUUCUUCAUAAUAAUUCAUAUCAGUCUUCUUUUUCUUUUUCUUUUAUAAGCACGAGGUUUGCUUAUGACUUAUAAACACAUAUAAGCACGAGGUUUUCUUUUUAUUUUAUAAUUGCUUAUGAGCACGAGGUUUGUUUAUAAGCACGAGGUUUGCUUAUGACUUAUAAACACAUAUAAGCACGAGGUUUGCUUAUAAAAUAAAAAGAAAAAGAAGACUGAUAUGAACUAUUAUGAAGAAUAAAAACGUUUUAAAACUCAAAGGAUCAAAAUAGUCAUGUUUCUUGUAUGUGUACCAAUAAUGUAUAUCUGAAAGGAUCAAAAUGGGAGAGCAAUCUCAUUAUAAUGCUAUAGCAAUAAUCACCUACGUUUAAUUUAUUGAUCCUGUAAAAUUAAGAUGCGGUUACAAAGAAAGAUAAUAUGUGGCCCUAAAUUCUGUUAAAUCAAUAAUAACCAAUUGCAUUUAUUGAUCCUGUAAAAAAAAAAAAACUACUGAAUUUGUUUUUUGAGUUAGACUAUUGGCACCCUCUUGUUACCCUCUUAAAACUCAUUUUCUAAAUAUACCCUAUUAAAUAAUUUGAAACAUCAGAUAAUUUUUAUUGACACCCUUUUUUAUUCCAGAAAUAUCCCUACUUCGCUCUUUUCUCUAAAGAAACCCUAUUCAUGACGUCUCUUUUCAUAAUUUCUUUAGGUACGUAAACAAAACUUUCUAUGUUUCUCUUGUUGAUAAUGUUAAUCGUGCAUCUUAUAUAAAAGAAAACGGUUAAUAUCUUUUUGGGAUUGAUUAUUUUUAUGGUAGUUUGUCUUUUGUCUAACUUUUCAUAGACUUAAAAUUCAAAAUAAGAAAAAAAUUAAAAUUUGAAUGUCCUGAGUACAUCUAAAGAUUCACAACAAGUCGUGGGAUGCUUUCAUCUCUAUCUAUUUUUAUUCAUAAUAUUUUUUCCGGGAUUUGACUCUUUUUUUACGCAUGAAACAAGAUAUCAUUGAUAUUUUUUGAGAUAAUUAAGAAUAAAGAAUAGUACAAUAUAAAUUAAUGAAUUUAUUUUAAUUAAUGUAAAUUAAUUUUACCACAGGUAAAUGGUAUUCAUCAAACUCUUAAAAAGGGAAAGAAUAAAUUUUAUUUGUGACUUUGCAUAGGCUGUGGGUAUGUGGGGCGUUUUCAGUUAGGGGUAAAUUUGUAAAAGAAAAUAAGGGAGUUUUAAGAGGAUAAUGCAGGUGUGCCAAUAGCACCACUCAAUUUUUUUAUUUUUUUUUUGUUGGCAAUGGCUGGGAAUGGCCCAUCUCUGGAGCGAUAACCUAUUUAAUUGGAACAUUAUUAGCACCGAUGCCUUUCAAACAUGUAACUUACUCAAUUUGAACACGUGAUGAUUUCUGUUUAUGGUUGGGGCUGCUGGAUCAAAAUUUCUUUAUUAGCUGAGAUAGCCCUCCAACCUUGACCUUUUGAGACAUGCUUGGACGUAUGUUAAUAACAGAAUAUUAAUUAAUGUUAGCAAUUUCCACACACACACACACACACUAUAUAAAGGUUUAGCGUUCCAUAAACUAAGCACUACUCUUCAGCAUCCAUACAGCACCUUGUUAGUUUCUCCAUUAUAUCCUAAUUAGCCUAAGAAGAUGGGUUCACUCCAAGAUGAUCACCAAGUCAUGUUGAAACCAGCAAGGGAUGAGCAAGACUUCUUGUUGGCCAUGGAACUCGCUUCCGGCGCAGUACUUCCGAUGACCAUUAAAUCUGCCACUGAGCUUGGUUUGUUGGAGAUAAUGGCGAAAGUUAGCCCAACUCAACUCUCGUCUUCAGAGAUUGCCUCUCAGCUGCCCACAAAUAACAAAAAAGCCCCAAUAAUACUGGACAGAAUGCUACGCCUCCUAGCCAGUUACUCUUUUCUCACAUGUAAUCUUGUCUCGAACAAAGACGGAAGUGUUCAGAGAUUAUAUGGCUUGACACCAGUUUCCAAAUAUUUUGUUCCAAAUAAAGAUGGAGUUUCUCUUGCUCCCACUCUGCUCAUAAUUCAGGACAAAAUUAGUAUGGAUUCUUGGUAAUUUGCUUUCUAAUUACCUUGUACUCACAUUAAUUGUAUCUGUAGACGUUAUAAUAUAAUAUAUGCACUCAAUUAAUUAAUACUCAUAUGUGUGCAUGAUAUCUUCCGACAGGUCCUGCGCUAAGGAUGCUUUAUUGGAAGGGUCGGUUCCAUUUAUGAAGGCACAUAAUGGAAUGGAUGGAUUUGCGGCUGCCGCCAAAGAUGAAAGAAUAAAUAACCUCUUCAAUCAAUCAAUGCACAAUCACACAACUAUAGUCAUGAAGGAAAUUCUUGAGAUCUACAAGGGAUUUGAAGGGCUGAACCAAUUGGUGGAUGUUGCCGGUGGCUUAGGUGCAAAUCUUAAAUCAAUUGUUUCUAAAUAUCCACAAUUAAGGGGGAUUAACUUUGAUUUACCUCAUGUCCUCAAACAUGCACCCUCUUGUCCAGGUAUAUAAUUAUUCACGUAUACGUCACUCGUUGCCAGCUUUAUUUAAUUUUGUAGAUCCUUCUCUUACGUAAAUUCUUUUUCAAUUAAUUAUCAUUUUAAAAACAACAAUAAUUUCAUUUUUCCCUUGUGUUUUAAUUCUCGUGAAGGUGUGGAGCAUGUUGGAGGAGAUAUGUUUGUUGAAGUUCCUAAAGGACAAGCUAUUUUCAUGAAGGUUAGUUCUCUACUUAAUAUUUAAUUAUUGAAAUAGAAAAUAAAAUAUUGAUUACGUAUGUCAAUUCCGAAAAUUUUGAAAUUUCACGAAAUUUUCAUUUAAAUUAAUCUCUCAGUGGAUACUUCAUGACUGGAGCGAUGAAGACUGUUCGAAGAUACUGAAGAACUGCUACGAAGCAAUACCGGAAUCCGGAAAGGUCAUUUUGGUGGAAUCAAUAGUGCCAGAAUUCCCCGAGACUGAUAUUGUAAGCAAGAAUAUAGCAAGUCUUGACGUACACCUCUCCAAUCUAUUUCCCGGAGCAAAGGAGAGGACAUUGGCGGAGUUCAAGGCCUUGGCAACAGGAGCUGGAUUUGCAGAUAUUAAAGUUAUAUGUCGUGUUUACUGCUAUUGGGUUAUUGAAUUCUACAAAACGAUCUAAGCAUUACGAUUUACGAGUGCUGGUCAUUUUAUGGUUCGCAUGCAUUUUCUUUUUCUUGUUUUAAAUUAAAUGACAGAAUCCUGUCCUUAUUCUGUCUGAUCAACACUUCUAUCUCUUCCCACGUUUCAAUAAUUUCUAGGCAUUGUUCAUUUUGUUCCUCCAUGACUUUUGUAAUUUCAUUUCUUAUAGCAAUAAUAAACCCGCCUCUUAUUGAGAUUUAUUAAAAAUAAUUUGCUUCAUUUCUCAUAAUUGUGCUUUAC
rnacentral:lncRNA from 1 species